rnacentral:rRNA from 1 species
UACGUAGGGUGCGAGCGUUAAUCGGAAUUACUGGGCGUAAAGCGUGCGCAGGCGGUUUUUUAAGUCAGAUGUGAAAUCCCCGGGCUUAACCCGGGAACUGCGUUUGAAACUACAAGGCUAGAGUGUUGGAGAGGGGGGUGGAAUUCCACGUGUAGCGGUGAAAUGCGUAGAGAUGUGGAGGAACACCGAUGGCGAAGGCAGCCCCCUGGGCUAACACUGACGCUGAGGCACGAAAGCGUGGGGAGCAAACAGG